GCAGGCUGCAACCCGCCUGCGUGAAGUCGGAAUGCUAGUAAUCGCAGAUCAGCAUGCUGCGGUGAAUACGUUCCCGGGCCUUGCACACACCGCCCGUCACACCAUGAGAGUCGGGAACACCCGAAGUCCGUAGCCUAACAGCAAUGAGGGCGCGGCCGAAGGUGGGUUCGAUAAUUGGGUGAAGUCGUAACAAGGUACC
rnacentral:rRNA from 1 species